GUGUCAGCAGCCGCGGUAAUACGUAGGGGGCUAGCGUUGUCCGGAAUCAUUGGGCGUAAAGCGCGCGUAGGCGGCCCGGCAAGUCCGCUGUAAAAGUCAACAGCUCAACUGUUGAAUGCCGGUGGAAACUGCCGGGCUAGAGUCCGGAAGAGGCGAGUGGAAUUCCUGGUGUAGCGGUGGAAUGCGCAGAUAUCAGGAGGAACACCGAUAGCGAAGGCAGCUCGCUGGGACGGUACUGACGCUGAGGCGCGAAAGCGUGGGGAGCGAACAGGAUUAGAAACCCCAGUAGUCC
rnacentral:rRNA from 1 species